rnacentral:rRNA from 1 species
GUCUGGAAAGGCGCGCGAUACAGGGUGACAGCCCCGUACACAAAAAUGCACAUACUGUGAGCUCGAUGAGUAGGGCGGGACACGUGGUAUCCUGUCUGAAUAUGGGGGGACCAUCCUCCAAGGCUAAAUACUCCUGACUGACCGAUAGUGAACCAGUACCGUGAGGGAAAGGCGAAAAGAACCCCGGCGAGGGGAGUGAAAAAGAACCUGAAACCGUGUACGUACAAGCAGUGGGAGCCUCUUAAUGGGGUGACUGCGUACCUUUUGUAUAAUGGGUCAGCGACUUAUAUUCUGUAGCAAGGUUAACCGAAUAGGGGAGCCGAAGGGAAACCGAGUCUUAACUGGGCGUUAAGUUGCAGGGUAUAGACCCGAAACCCGGUGAUCUAGCCAUGGGCAGGUUGAAGGUUGGGUAACACUAACUGGAGGACCGAACCGACUAAUGUUGAAAAAUUAGCGGAUGACUUGUGGCUGGGGGUGAAAGGCCAAUCAAACCGGGAGAUAGCUGGUUCUCCCCGAAAGCUAUUUAGGUAGCGCCUCGUGAAUUCAUCUCCGGGGGUAGAGCACUGUUUCGGCAAGGGGGUCAUCCCGACUUACCAACCCGAUGCAAACUGCGAAUACCGGAGAAUGUUAUCACGGGAGACACACGGCGGGUGCUAACGUCCGUCGUGAAGAGGGAAACAACCCAGACCGCCAGCUAAGGUCCCAAAGUCAUGGUUAAGUGGGAAACGAUGUGGGAAGGCCCAGACAGCCAGGAUGUUGGCUUAGAAGCAGCCAUCAUUUAAAGAAAGCGUAAUAGCUCACUGGUCGAGUCGGCCUGCGCGGAAGAUGUAACGGGGCUAAACCAUGCACCGAAGCUGCGGCAGCGACGCUUAUGCGUUGUUGGGUAGGGGAGCGUUCUGUAAGCCUGUGAAGGUGUGCUGUGAGGCAUGCUGGAGGUAUCAGAAGUGCGAAUGCUGACAUAAGUAACGAUAAAGCGGGUGAAAAGCCCGCUCGCCGGAAGACCAAGGGUUCCUGUCCAACGUUAAUCGGGGCAGGGUGAGUCGACCCCUAAGGCGAGGCCGAAAGGCGUAGUCGAUGGGAAACAGGUUAAUAUUCCUGUACUUGGUGUUACUGCGAAGGGGGGACGGAGAAGGCUAUGUUGGCCGGGCGACGGUUGUCCCGGUUUAAGCGUGUAGGCUGGUUUUCCAGGCAAAUCCGGAAAACCAAGGCUGAGGCGUGAUGACGAGGCACUACGGUGCUGAAGCGACAAAUGCCCUGCUUCCAGGAAAAGCCUCUAAGCAUCAGGUAACAUCAAAUCGUACCCCAAACCGACACAGGUGGUCAGGUAGAGAAUACCAAGGCGCUUGAGAGAACUCGGGUGAAGGAACUAGGCAAAAUGGUGCCGUAACUUCGGGAGAAGGCACGCUGAUAUGUAGGUGAAGCGACUUGCUCGUGGAGCUGAAAUCAGUCGAAGAUACCAGCUGGCUGCAACUGUUUAUUAAAAACACAGCACUGUGCAAACACGAAAGUGGACGUAUACGGUGUGACGCCUGCCCGGUGCCGGAAGGUUAAUUGAUGGGGUUAGCGGCAACGCGAAGCUCUUGAUCGAAGCCCCGGUAAACGGCGGCCGUAACUAUAACGGUCCUAAGGUAGCGAAAUUCCUUGUCGGGUAAGUUCCGACCUGCACGAAUGGCGUAAUGAUGGCCAGGCUGUCUCCACCCGAGACUCAGUGAAAUUGAACUCGCUGUGAAGAUGCAGUGUACCCGCGGCAAGACGGAAAGACCCCGUGAACCUUUACUAUAGCUUGACACUGAACAUUGAGCCUUGAUGUGUAGGAUAGGUGGGAGGCUUUGAAGUGUGGACGCCAGUCUGCAUGGAGCCGACCUUGAAAUACCACCCUUUAAUGUUUGAUGUUCUAACGUUGGCCCCUAAUCGGGGUUGCGGACAGUGUCUGGUGGGUAGUUUGACUGGGGCGGUCUCCUCCUAAAGAGUAACGGAGGAGCACGAAGGUUGGCUAAUCCUGGUCGGACAUCAGGAGGUUAGUGCAAUGGCAUAAGCCAGCUUGACUGCGAGCGUGACGGCGCGAGCAGGUGCGAAAGCAGGUCAUAGUGAUCCGGUGGUUCUGAAUGGAAGGGCCAUCGCUCAACGGAUAAAAGGUACUCCGGGGAUAACAGGCUGAUACCGCCCAAGAGUUCAUAUCGACGGCGGUGUUUGGCACCUCGAUGUCGGCUCAUCACAUCCUGGGGCUGAAGUAGGUCCCAAGGGUAUGGCUGUUCGCCAUUUAAAGUGGUACGCGAGCUGGGUUUAGAACGUCGUGAGACAGUUCGGUCCCUAUCUGCCGUGGGCGCUGGAGAACUGAGGGGGGCUGCUCCUAGUACGAGAGGACCGGAGUGGACGCAUCACUGGUGUUCGGGUUGUCAUGCCAAUGGCACUGCCCGGUAGCUAAAUGCGGAAGAGAUAAGUGCUGAAAGCAUCUAAGCACGAAACUUGCCCCGAGAUGAGUUCUCCCUGAGACUUAGAGUCUCCUGAAGGAACGUUGAAGACGACGACGUUGAUAGGCCGGGUGUGUAAGCGCAGCGAUGCGUUGAGCUAACCGGUACUAAUGAACCGUGAGGCUUAACCUUACAACGCCGAAG